CCUGUGGAGCGUUACAGCAAACGUUAGUAGUCAGUCAGUGAUGGCGACAAAAGCGGACGCGUUGAAGCAGGAA
rnacentral:ncRNA from 1 species